UCCUGUCCUGUCUGCUUCUUGUGUCA
rnacentral:piRNA from 1 species